rnacentral:misc_RNA from 1 species
GGACAUGCUCAGCUUUCUUAGGGAGAUUAGCAUUAACAUCAGCUUUCAUCCUCCGGAGGAGGUAAGGCAUGAUUAAAUCCCGCAACACCACAGCACAUCUGUAAGCUGUGGACACUUGCAACGGUGUUGCAUUAGCAUAACCUCCAACAGAUAUGGGAACAGCAAAUUCAGCCUCAAACACAGGUAGAACUCCUAACUUUCCAGGAAAAACGAAAUCAAACAAUGACCACAGUUCACUCAACUUGUUU